CCCGCGCCUGGCGGGGCUGCGCCAGCUCUAUCCCGAGCUGGAUCUCAGCCUGGAGAUGGUGGCGGAGGAUCCUGAACUCUCCGAUCGGGU
rnacentral:tRNA from 1 species